rnacentral:rRNA from 1 species
AACGAACGCUGGCGGCGUGCCUAACACAUGCAAGUCGAGCGGAGUCAGUAAGAAGAAGUUUUCGGAUGGAAUCUUAUUGAUUUAGCGGCGGACGGGUGAGUAACGCGUGAGCGACCAACCUUGCACAGGGGGAUAACGGACCGAAAGGUUCACUAAUACCGCAUAAGACCACGGUGUUGCAUGACACAGAGGUCAAAGGAGCAAUCCGGUGCAAGACGGGCUCGCGUCCGAUUAGGUAGUUGGAGGGGUAACGGCCCACCAAGCCUACGAUCGGUAGCCGACCUGAGAGGGUGAUCGGCCACAUUGGAACUGAGAUACGGUCCAAACUCCUACGGGAGGCAGCAGUGGGGAAUAUUGGGCAAUGGGGGAAACCCUGACCCAGCAACGCCGCGUGAAGGAAGAAGGUUUUCGGAUUGUAAACUUCUGUCCUUGGUGAAGAGAAGAAGACGGUAGCCAAGGAGGAAACCCCGGCUAACUACGUGCCAGCCGCCGCCGUAA